rnacentral:rRNA from 1 species
GAUGAACGCUGACAGAAUGCUUAACACAUGCAAGUCUACUUGAACUUCGGUUUGGGUGGCGGACGGGUGAGUAACGCGUAAAGAACUUGCCUCACAGAUAGGGACAACAUUUGGAAACGAAUGCUAAUACCUGAUAUUAUGAUUUUAGGGCAUCCUAGAAUUAUGAAAGCUAUAUGCACUGUGAGAGAGCUUUGCGUCCCAUUAGCUAGUUGGAGAGGUAACGGCUCACCAAGGCGAUGAUGGGUAGCCGGCCUGAGAGGGUGAUCGGCCACAAGGGGGCUGAGACACGGCCCUUACUCCUACGGGAGGCAGCAGUGGGGAAUAUUGGACAAUGGACCAAGAGUCUGAUCCAGCAAUUCUGUGUGCACGAUGAAGUUUUUCGGAAUGUAAAGUGCUUUCAGUUGGGAAGAAAAAAAUGACGGUACCAACAGAAGAAGUGACGGCUAAAUACGUG